GUGAGUAACACGUGGGUAACCUACCUAUAAGACUGGAAUAACUCCGGGAAACCGGGGCUAAUGCCGGAUAACAUGUUGAACCGCAUGGUUCUACAGUGAAAGACGGUCUUGCUGUCACUUAUAGAUGGACCCGCGCCGUAUUAGCUAGUUGGUGGGGUAACGGCCUACCAAGGCGACGAUACGUAGCCGACCUGAGAGGGUGAUCGGCCACACUGGAACUGAGACACGGUCCAGACUCCUACGGGAGGCAGCAGUAGGGAAUCUUCCGCAAUGGGCGAAAGCCUGACGGAGCAACGCCGCGUGAGUGAUGAAGGUCUUCGGAUCGUAAAGCUCU
rnacentral:rRNA from 1 species